UUGGUUCAGGUUUUCUUAGGCCUCACAGCCGGGAGAACUUGAUUUGACCUUUUUCAGUGCUACAUGACAGACAUGAUUAAUAGUCUUUCCCUGAAUUAGGUUUCUAUUCCGCCUAACCUCCCCUGAGUUAGAUGCAUAGUUUUGCUCUCCCUGAUUUGGGCCCCUACCUUUCCCUGAGCUAGUUUUACAUUCCUUAAGUUGAGUUUCUAUUCAGGUAAAACGCAUGAUUUCCUGAAAAACACGUGGUAUUUUGCUAAUACGUAUACUCUAAACGCUUGCUGAUUGGUAUAGCUAAGUUUCUAUAUGCUAAUUCCCUCAUUGCUGUAAUUACCCCUCCCUGCUAAAACUGCAUAAUAAAAGAGACUGUUGCGAUCUAAGGGGGAUCUUUUUACAACAUCUCUUUUUACAACCCUUUCUUCGUGCUAUCUCAUUUUGAAGAACUCCUGGUGUGGUGUCUUUUAUUUGGCUUCUUUCGUCCUUGCGAGGACCCACUAAAUUGUCUCAGCGAGGGCUGAGACCCGUUCCUGCGGGAACCCAGGACAACAUUAACAGGGAACCUAGGACAACAAAUAAUUGUUGCAGACCAACAGCAACAUCUGGGGGCUCGUCCUGACCUGUUGUGUUGUCCAGAGGCGUGAUCGUUGUCUAGCGGUGCGUCACCUUCACCCUCAUUGCUUACCCGUCCGGGACGCGACACAUGCAUACGCAUCUUCCGGAUCCAGCUUGGAAAGGUCCAGCUCAAUUGAUUACCUGGGGAAAAGGCUACGCUGCAGUUCAAUUGCCUGAUCGAGUCCUGUGGGUUCCGGCUCGCUGUGUUCGCCCCUGUCAUCUCAA